CAGCAGCCGCGGUAAUACGGAGGGGGCUAGCGUUGUUCGGAAUUACUGGGCGUAAAGCGCACGUAGGCGGCUUGGUAAGUUAGAGGUGAAAGCCUGGAGCUCAACUCCAGAAUUGCCUUUAAGACUGCCGAGCUAGUAGGUGAGAGAGGUAAGUGGAAUUCCGAGUGUAGAGGUGAAAUUCGUAGAUAUUCGGAAGAACACCAGUGGCGAAGGCGGCUUACUGGCUCAUUCUAGACGCUGAGGUGCGAAAGCGUGGGGAGCAAACAGGAUUAGAUACCCGUGUAGUCCCUGUCUCUUAUAC
rnacentral:rRNA from 1 species